AGAGUUUGAUCCUGGCUCAGGACGAACGCUGGCGGCGCGCCUAACACAUGCAAGUCGAACGAGCGAGAGAGAGCUUGCUUUCUCGAGCGAGUGGCGAACGGGUGAGUAACGCGUGAGGAACCUGCCUCAAAGAGGGGGACAACAGUUGGAAACGACUGCUAAUACCGCAUAAGCCCACAGCUCGGCAUCGAGCAGAGGGAAAAGGAGCAAUCCGCUUUGAGAUGGCCUCGCGUCCGAUUAGCUGGUUGGUGAGGUAACGGCCCACCAAGGCGACGAUCGGUAGCCGGACUGAGAGGUUGAACGGCCACAUUGGGACUGAGACACGGCCCAGACUCCUACGGGAGGCAGCAGUGGGGAAUAUUGCACAAUGGGGGAAACCCUGAUGCAGCGACGCCGCGUGGAGGAAGAAGGUCUUCGGAUUGUAAACUCCUGUUGUUGAGGAAGAUAAUGACGGUACUCAACAAGGAAGUGACGGCUAACUACGUGCCAGCAGCCGCGGUAAAACGUAGGUCACAAGCGUUGUCCGGAAUUACUGGGUGUAAAGGGAGCGCAGGCGGGAAGGCAAGUUGGAAGUGAAAUCCAUGGGCUCAACCCAUGAACUGCUUUCAAAACUGUUUUUCUUGAGUAGUGCAGAGGUAGGCGGAAUUCCCGGUGUAGCGGUGGAAUGCGUAGAUAUCGGGAGGAACACCAGUGGCGAAAGCGGCCUACUGGGCACCAACUGACGCUGAGGCUCGAAAGUGUGGGUAGCAAACAGGAUUAGAUACCCUGGUAGUCCACACUGUAAACGAUGAUUACUAGGUGUUGGAGGAUUGACCCCUUCAGUGCCGCAGUUAACACAAUAAGUAAUCCACCUGGGGAGUACGACCGCAAGGUUGAAACUCAAAGGAAUUGACGGGGGCCCGCACAAGCAGUGGAGUAUGUGGUUUAAUUCGACGCAACGCGAAGAACCUUACCAAGUCUUGACAUCCUGCGACGCACAUAGAAAUAUGUGUUUCCUUCGGGACGCAGAGACAGGUGGUGCAUGGUUGUCGUCAGCUCGUGUCGUGAGAUGUUGGGUUAAGUCCCGCAACGAGCGCAACCCUUAUGGUCAGUUACUACGCAAGAGGACUCUGGCCAGACUGCCGUUGACAAAACGGAGGAAGGUGGGGAUGACGUCAAAUCAUCAUGCCCUUUAUGACUUGGGCUACACACGUACUACAAUGGCGUUAAACAAAGAGAAGCGAGACCGCGAGGUGGAGCAAAACUCAGAAACAACGUCCCAGUUCGGACUGCAGGCUGCAACUCGCCUGCACGAAGUCGGAAUUGCUAGUAAUCGCAGAUCAGCAUGCUGCGGUGAAUACGUUCCCGGGCCCCUUGUACACACCGCCCGU
rnacentral:rRNA from 1 species